rfam:Parcubacteria (Nomurabacteria) bacterium GW2011_GWA1_46_11 TX31_C0006, whole genome shotgun sequence.
GGGCGUAUAGCUCAAGCUGGCAGAGCAGCGGUCUCCAAAACCGCAGGUUGUGGGUUCGAGCCCCACUGCGCCCG